AGUCGAACGAGAAAACUGAAUAGCUUGCUAAUUGGUUUUCUAGUGGCGGACGGGUUAGUAACACGUGAGCAACCUGCCUCGAAGCGGGGGAUAGCCUUUCGAAAGAGAGAUUAAUACCGCAUGUGACCUACGGGUUAAAGGUGCCUUCGGGUGCCGUUUCGAGAUGGGCUCGCGGCCUAUCAGCUUGUUGGUGAGGUAACGGCUCACCAAGGCGACGACGGGUAGCUGGUCUGAGAGGACGAUCAGCAACACUGGAACUGAGACACGGUCCAGACACCUACGGGUGGCAGCAGUCGAGAAUCAUUCACAAUGGGGGCAACCCUGAUGGUGCAACGCCGCGUGGAGGAUGAAGGCCCUAGGGUCGUAAACUCCUGUCAUAUGAGAGUAAGGCAUAUGUGUUAAUAGCAUGUAUGUUUGAUAGUAUCAUAAGAGGAAGGGACGGCUAACUUCGUGCCAGCAGCCGCGGUAAUACGAAGGUCCCGAGCGUUAUUCGGAAUCACUGGGCGUAAAGAGUACGUAGGCGGUUUGGUAAGUCAGGUGUGAAAUCCCGGGGCUCAACCCCGGAACUGCAUCCGAUACUGCCAGACUGGAGUAAUGGAGAGGCAGGUGGAAUUCUCGGUGUAGCAGUGAAAUGCGUGGA
rnacentral:rRNA from 1 species